GGCCUACCAUGGUGGUAACGGGUAACGGGGUGUUAGGGCACGACACCGGAGAGGGAGCCUGAGAAACGGCUACCACAUCCAAGGAUGGCAGCAGGCGCGCAAAUUACCCAAUCCCGACACGGGGAGGUAGUGACAAUAAAUAACAAUACGGGGUUCUUUAGGAUCUCGUAAUUGGAAUGAGUACAAUUUAAAUCUCUUAACGAGGAACAAUUGGAGGGCAAGUCUGGUGCCAGCAGCCGCGGUAAUUCCAGCUCCAAUAGCGUAUAUUAAAGUUGUUGCAGUUAAAAAGCUCGUAGUUGAAUUUCGGGACCAAUUUGUUGGUCGUGCCUCGGUACGUACUGGUAUUAUUGGUUUCUCCCUUCUGAAGAACCUUGAUGUCAUUAAUUUGGUGUCUUGGGGAAUCAGGACUGUUACUUUGAAAAAAUUAGAGUGUUUAAAGCAGGCAUACGCUUGAAUACAUUAGCAUGGAAUAAUGAAAUAGGACGUUUGAUUCUAUUUUGUUGGUUUCUAGGAUCGACGUAAUGAUUAAUAGGGAUAGUUGGGGGCAUUAGUAUUCAAUUGUCAGAGGUGAAAUUCUUGGAUUUAUUGAAGACUAACUACUGCGAAAGCAUUUGCCAAGGAUGUUUUCAUUAAUCAAGAACGAAAGUUAGGGGAUCGAAGACGAUCAGAUACCGUCGUAGUCUUAACCAUAAACUAUGCCGACUAGGGAUCGGAUGAUGUUAUUUUUAAUGACUCAUUCGGCGCCUUACGGGAAACCAAAGUGUUUGGGUUC
rnacentral:rRNA from 1 species